rnacentral:rRNA from 1 species
AUUGAACGCUGGCGGCAGGCCUAAUACAUGCAAGUCGAGCGGAGCUGCGGACGGGUGAGUAAUGCCUAGGAAUCUGCCUGGUCGUGGGGGAUACCGUCCGGGAACGGGCGCUAAUACCGCAUACUAUCAGAUGAGCCUAGGUUGGAUUAGCUAGUUGGUGGGGUAAAGGCCUACCAAGGCGACGAUCCGUAACUGGUCCGAGAGGAUGAUCAGUCACACUGGAACUGAGACACGGCCCAGACUCCUACGGGAGGCAGCAGUGGGGAAUAUUCGGCAAUGGACGAAAGCCUGAUCCAGCAAUGCCGCGUGUGUGAAGAAGGUCUUCGGAUUGUAAAGCUCUUUAGGUUGGGAGGCGUUACCAAAAGAAUAAGCACCGGCUAACUUCGUGCCAGCAGCCGCGGUAAUAC